UCCGAAUUGGUGUAGUGGCUAACAUUUGACGCUCUCACUUUCUCUCCUUCAUUCAUUGUUGGAGACGAACCUGGUCCGUCAAGCCCGGGGUUCGAUUCCCCGAUUCGGAG